CAAAUGGGGACGGGGAUAGACAU
rnacentral:piRNA from 1 species